rnacentral:pre_miRNA from 1 species
UUACUACUCCCUCCGUCCCGAAUUACUUGUCGCAGGUAUGGAUGUAUCUAGAUGUAUUUUAGUUCUAGAUACAUCCAUUUCUGCGACGAGUAAUUUGGAACGGAGGGAGUAUAAG